rnacentral:rRNA from 1 species
GAUGAACGCUGGCGGCGUGCUUAACACAUGCAAGUCGAACGGAAAGGCCCAAGCUUGCUUGGGUACUCGAGUGGCGAACGGGUGAGUAACACGUGGGUGAUCUGCCCUGCACUUCGGGAUAAGCCUGGGAAACUGGGUCUAAUACCGGAUAGGACCACAUUUUGGAUGGUGUGGUGGAAAGUUUUUCGGUGUGGGAUGAGCUCGCGGCCUAUCAGCUUGUUGGUGGGGUAAUGGCCUACCAAGGCGUCGACGGGUAGCCGGCCUGAGAGGGUGUACGGCCACAUUGGGACUGAGAUACGGCCCAGACUCCUACGGGAGGCAGAAGUGGGGAAUAUUGCACAAUGGGCGCAAGCCUGAUGCAGCGACGCCGCGUGGGGGAUGACGGCCUUCGGGUUGUAAACUCCUUUCGCUAGGGACGAAGCGUUUUUGUGACGGUACCUGGAGAAGAAGCACCGGCUAACUACGU